GAAAGGAUUAGUAUUUCCUCCGCAUCAUCCAAGGUGAUAAAAUCAGGAACGUGGGUGUUAUCAUUGGACCACAGGAUGUUGGAUGUUGACGGAGGAUGUGGCGACCCCAAAUCCGGGUACUUGAAACCCGAACUCGGUUCUCCACGAUACCAUUUCUUUAAGCUGAAUAAUACUAAAUAAUAAUACAUUCGAACUUAAUUUACAUACAUCAAAGUUUACUUCCCCAGGUACGUGACCUUCAAAUACAUUC
rnacentral:lncRNA from 1 species